GACGAACGCUGGCGGCGUGCUUAACACAUGCAAGUCGAACGAUGAAGUUCCUUCGGGAAUGGAUUAGUGGCGAACGGGUGAGGAACACGUGAGAAACCUGCCUUUCAUUUUGGGAUAACUCCGGGAAACCGGGGCUAAAACCGAAUACUCCGUCUCGGCGGCAUCGCUGAGCCGGGAAAAAAUUUUGAUGAAAGAUGGUCUCGCGGCCUAUCAGCUAGUUGGUGAGGUAAUGGCUCACCAAGGCAACGACGGGUAGCCGGCCUGAGAGGGCGACCGGCCACACUGGGACGGAGACACGGCCCAGACUCCGACGGGAGGCAGCAGUGGGGAAUAUUGGGCAAUGGGCGCAAGCCUGACCCAGCGACGCCGCGUGAGGGAUGAAGGCCUUCGGGUUGUAAACCUCUUUCAGUAGGGAAGAAGCGAAAGUGACGGUACCUAAAGAAGAAGCACCGGCUAACUAUGUGCCAGCCGCCGCUGUAA
rnacentral:rRNA from 1 species